UCGUCUUCCCCCCGGGGGCAGCGCCCGGUGUCCAGCGCCCGCUUCUCCGGCGCCCCCUUUCCGUACCCGCCGCCCGCGGAGGGACGGUUGGAGUUUGAAAAAGCUGCGCGUUCCCGCCGCGUGAGGCAGCCCGCCCCGCCCUCCGACAGGUCCCCGGGAACACCUCAGCCCACUGGAGCGGGACCCAUGGCGGCGGGCACGGGCGCUGCUGCUCAGUGUCUCCGCAACCCGGCCAUCGAGGAAGCUCUCGCCCGCGUUUUCCCGCCUCUGCCCGACUGGGCCUACCAGCGGCUGCGGAGGCUGGCCUCGCCUCCCUCUUUGGCCUGAGUGGCAGCGCCGCGCCGCCGUGUAUUGAGGAGAGGAGGAGGAGCUCGGCGAUCGGGGCGGAGCGGCCCCGGCCCCAGCCUCGCGCGCCGCCGAGAGAGACCCUGGGGCAGGGCAGGCGGCGGCCCCGGCAUCCCCCAGGGGCGCUGGCUUCCCCGCGUCGCCCCGCUCAGGUUAUGUUUCUCAAGUAAUAAAUUAUGGGUUCGGAAGAGAAAAGAGAUGGAUUAUAUCAAGUCACAUCUUCUCAGCGAAUAAUUUCUUCUUGUUGUGGUGCUUUUCUUACUUCACUUUUGGUCACACCCCUAGAUGUUGUCAAAGUUCGACUCCAGGCCCAGAGCAACCCAUUCUUCAAAGCACUUUAUUGUGCACUCUUUUUAUCAGGAAAAUCUUUUUUGGAAUCUGAUAGCCUUGCGGAUCACAUUUGUGUCUAUGAAAAUGGAACCAGCAAAACCUGGCGUAAGAGAUCUGUGCAGUUUACCGGCAUGGUGGAUGCUUUUGUGAAAAUAGCUCAAAGAGAGGGUGUGAGAGCACUAUGGAGUGGACUGCCUCCCGCACUAGCAGUUUCAGUUCCAACGGCAGUAAUUUAUUUUACUUGCUAUGAUCAACUGCGUGAUGCCUUCAUUUCUAAAAUAGGAGAAGAUAAUGUCUACAUUCCACUUAUUGCAGGGGGCAUAGCCAGAUUGGGUGCAGCAACUAUAAUAAGUCCAGUUGAAAUGAUUAGAACAAGAAUGCAGUUUCGCCGGUUGACUUACAAACAACUAAGUGCUUGCAUUAGUAGUAACAUGGCCAAAGAUGGCUGGCUUUCACUCUGGAAAGGAUGGGGCCCCACUGUUCUUAGAGAUGUGCCAUUUUCAGCACUGUACUGGUGUAACUAUGAAUACUUCAAGAAGAGGUUGUGCAAGAGAUCAGGAAAACAUGAGCCAACAUUCUUUAUCACCUUCCCAUCAGGAGCAGCAGCUGGUUCUAUUGCUGCUCUUUUAACUUUACCCUUUGAUGUUAUAAAAACACACAAGCAGACUGAGCUUUGGGAAUUCGAAUCCACACACUUUUUGUUUUUGUUUUAUUCAGCAUCACAGCCAAGGAGUGUACCAAUAUGGAAAGUAAUGAAGAGAAUUGUUGCUGAAAAUGGAUUUACUGGAUUAUUUGCUGGUAUUGUUCCAAGGCUGACAAAAAUAGCUCCUGCUUGUGCCAUAAUGAUCAGCACGUAUGAAUAUGGGAAAUCUUUCUUCCGUAGAUUAAAUAAAGACAGAGACAUUAAGAACCAUUAAUGCUGUUUCUAUAAACUUAAAGUGGCAUAUAGUAUCCACCAAGGGUUAUACCACACAAGAUUGCUAUGGAAAUGUUAGGUCUUAAGAUGCAGCUUGUAAGUUCCUUGCCGAUCGCCGGUGUCUCCAGCUAGCCUUGCUCAGUAUGUGGACCAGCCCAGCUCUGCAAAAGGAGAAUGACGGAGAAACCCACAAAACUUACUGCAUUCAGAAUCAAACCAGGAUUCCUCCCUGCUAUACUGCGCCAUAGAGCAGGAGAAAGAUGCAUCUGCAAGACUGGAUCCAAUGUGAUCUGUUGCAGUCAUAAGAAUGGGUUCUGCACCUGCAUGAGAGCAUUCGGACAGAAUUGAUGAGCUCCUCGAAGCGCUUAGUCCUGCCCCCUGCACAUGGUGCAUUUGCUUAGUUUGGGCAGGCUAGCAUUUUCUCCUCAGUUCCUGAAGGACCAACAUUUGGAGGCAGUCAUCUCAUGGAACCAGCCCACAGUUCAACAAGGGCUUGGUCAAUUUCAAACAAAAAAGGAGAACCCGUCUCACGUCCAGUGAGUGCAAAGAAUGUUCUAUGGCCAUUGUUGGAUUGUGAAAGAAGAAAAAAGUCGUUCCGAGGAGCCGAAGGUGCUGACACGAUGACCAUCAGAAAGGAACUGAGGAGAAAACACUAGCCCACCCCAACUAAGCAAGUGCACUAUAUGCAGAGGGUUUUGUCAUCUGCAGAUAGUUCAAAAGAGCCCUGCGUACAUCCAGGGAAUGUAAUGACCUCUCCAAGGUUGUUUCCGGGUCUCUGAAAAAGUUUCUUCUUGUGGAAGCCUUCAUGUCAUUUGGAGGUAUUUCCUUCACAAGCCUAUUCUCCACGCUGUCAGACACAGAGGCUUCAAGUCUGGAUGCAAUUGUGAUCUAAUUUAGCAUGUUAUUUGACCUACAUGUUUAAUUUAAAAAUCCACCAUUUGAAUUUCCCACAUGGUAACUCAACGUUUUUCAAGUAGCCAUGUAGUUGAACUCUGAAGUACUGGGAGACAAGGAGAAAUCAGAUAAGUUAAUUUUAUUGGAAUAUUCAAAACAUAUCUACUCUCUUACACUCUUUCUAGGAAUAAUCAUUUGAACCACAUUAAUUAGAACUUUGAAAUUGCCAAACUUGCCUAAUAUUGAAUUAGCAUCCAUUCAUUAUUACUAAUUAAUUUUAUGGGUUUUUUCCCCAACAAUUCCAUUGUGGAAUCUGUAUUUUCGCUAAACAGGCCUUUUCCACCCGUUCAUGCAUGUCUUGCUGCAAUGCUGUAGAUCUCAGCCAUGCAUGAGCCUCAUAGUCACGGCAGUAACCAUGGCUCAUGACUCCGUUUCUACCAGGUGCUUAAAUGCACUAAGCUGCUGUCUAGGUACUGAUGUAGUCUUUUCAUAUAGCUCAGUGAACUUAUCCUGAAAUUUUUCAGGUGUCAACAAAGUGGAGUCCUGAAACAAAGUGCCCCAUAAAAAGUGAUUGUAUCUAGCCAUGCAGGCUGCAUAGUUAGCAAUUCUUAUUGCCAAACUUGAGGUGGUGCAUAUCUUUCUGCCUAAUAUAUCCAUCUUCCUCCCUUCCUUGCCAGAUGGGGUUGUAUGGAGGCGUCCCGCCUUUGAAGAUGAUGCACAAUUACCAUAGAAUUUGGUAUUGGAUGUCGAAGCAGAAAUCCAAGGAGCCAGCACCGAGGUGUUGACGUUUUGGCGGUCAAAUAGAAACUGAGGAAAUGGCGCCCCCAACUUCCGAUUUCAGCGGAAGCACAGAGCACGUGCAAGGCAGAGUGGGCAUCACGAAGAGCUAGUUAGUCUUCCCGCAAGGUCCCUGUGCAGGCGCAAAACCCAUUCCUUAUUAAUGCAAUGGAUCACGAUCCAGAUCAACAGUUAUCAAGUGAGCAGCAGAACAAACAAUUAAACAGUCAAAGAACUCACCAAGAAAAGUGAGGGGAACAAACCACUUUAUAAGACACUAGUAUUUUUAAGCCAGUUUCAGAAGCUAUUUGCUAAAUUCAAGCUAUUGAAUUUAGCAAACUUCUCACUGAGGUUCUACACAUAGGGCCAAACCAUAUGUUAAAUAGUAAAUACAUAGUUCGGCCCUGCAUUUUUUUAAAAAACUGUAAAUAGGAGAUCUGGAGCCCUGUCAGGAUCAAGACCAUGGCAUGCAUGGUUAACCGUUUCCCCUCAUGUCACAAUACAAAACAAAACAAAAAACCCACAAACCAACUAUCUGACACCAGAGGGAAGAUGUCAUUGGUGCCACUUUGUGGGAGGGCAAUUUUAAGUCAGGAGUCCAACAUAUGCAGCAACUAUUAACCUCCGAUGAUACAAAUCCUGAUGGUUUGGCCCUGCAGCUGCUACUUACAGGUUUGUUUUACAAAAAACAAGGUUAAACUAUAUGUUUAAUAAAAUGUGCAGCUAUUCCCUUAGACCAGACUCAUGUCAACGCACUUAUAUGCACAUCUUAACCGCCUUGGGGUUUUCUUUUAACGAAAGGCGGUAUAGAAAUGUAAAAAUAAUAAAUAAAUAAAUAAAAUCUUGUUUCAUUCAA